rnacentral:rRNA from 1 species
CCUACGGGGCGCAGCAGUGAGGAAUAUUGGUCAAUGGGCGCGAGCCUGAACCAGCCAAGCCGCGUGAGGGAAGACGGUCCUAUGGAUUGUAAACCUCUUUUGUCGGGGAGAACAAGACGCCACGCGUAGCGUUCCGAAAGUAACCGUAGAAAAAGCAUCGGCAAACUCCGUGCCAGCAGCCGCGGUAAUACGGAGGAUGCGAGCGUUAUCCGGAUUUAUUGGGUUUAAAGGGUGCGCAGGCGGAAGAUCAAGUCAGCGGUAAAAUUGAGGGGCUCAACCUCUGCGAGCCGUUGAAACUGGUUUUCUUGAGUGAGCGAGAGGUAUGCGGAAUGCGUGGUGUAGCGGUGAAAUGCAUAGAUAUCACGCAGAACUCCGAUUGCGAAGGCAGCAUACCGGCGCUCAACUGACGCUCAUGCACGAAAGUGUGGGUAUCGAACAGGAUUAGAUACCCCUGUAGUC